UACGGAGGGUGCAAGCGUUAUCCGGAUUUACUGGGUUUAAAGGGUGCGUAGGUGGGUCUGUAAGUCAGUGGUGAAAUCUCCGGGCUUAACCCGGAAACCGCCAUUGAUACUAUAGAUCUUGAAUAUCCUGGAGGUGAGCGGAAUAUGUCAUGUAGCGGUGAAAUGCUUAGAUAUGACAUAGAACACCAAUUGCGAAGGCAGCUUACUACGCCUAUAUUGACGCUGAGGCACGAAAGCGUGGGGAUCAAACAGG
rnacentral:rRNA from 1 species